rnacentral:lncRNA from 1 species
ACAUGUUUAACCCCGCCACAUUCUUUAUGUAUGUGCCUGUCCCAAGUCAGGAGCCUGUAAUUCAGUGGUUGUCGUUUGUUUAUGUGUUACAUAUUUGUUUUUCGUUCAUUUUUUUACAUAAAUAAGGCCGUAAGUUUUCUCGUUUGAAUUGUUUUACAUUGUCUUAUCGGAGCCUUUUUUAGCUUACUAUGCGGUAUGGGCUUUGCUCAUUGUUGAAGGCCGUACGGUGACCUAUAGUUGUUAAUGUCUGUGUCAUUUUGAUCUUUUGUGGAUAGUUGUCUAAUUGGCAAUCAUACCACAUCUUCUUUUUUAU